CCUGCGGGGACCAGGUGGUGACCGAGGAGGCGUGGAGCGGCUUCAGGACUCGAACGGUUCCGAAGCGGCUAUGGACUUUAGCCUUUGACCCCGAUGUCGAUCGACAGACAACCCCCAUCCCCUGCUCUAGCCGGACAGUUGGAGGGUCCCGGGUGGGUGAGGUGUUUGGCUGCGGGAAACUCAAGCGGCGGCAAGAAAGCAGUUGGGUCCCCACAAACUGCCCGAAGCCAAGGUGAUAGUUUCAAAGCCUAUGCUGCUUAGGCCUAGCCUGUACUUCUAAUAGCCAGAAAAAAGCAGACUCAGUCACUGGAUUGUGUGCACUAAAUACUUACUAGAGGGCCUUCCUAGAGGUUUCAAAUGAAGUGCUACCUAUUACAAAAGACAUCUCCAUCCCUAUAACUUAUUUUUUUUUCCCCACAGCUCUUACCUCAAACUGAUAUCUUGUUUACUGGUUCACUAUUUUUCCUUCUAGAAUGUAAGCUAUAUGAGGUCAGUUACCCCAAUACCUAGAACAUUGUUUUAAAUAAUUGACUUCACGAUAUAGCAUUGCUGCUUACAAAUAAAACUGAGAAUGUUUGAAGGAAUUAUGAAAUAAUGUAAACCCUGGUUAUUUGUGAAGCUUGUAAUAAAGUACCAAACUGUUGAAGUAUGUUUUGAAACUGAUGAAAUACCCUAGUAAGAAGAGAUCUAAAGAUUAAUAAGAUGUUUGGGGAAAGGCUAAAAUAAUUGUAGUUAUCUCAUUAAUGAGAGAAGACUAGUUACUUAAUGAUUUCCCAAUUUGUAAAAGUAUUUAAAGGAAAGUAGCGAUUCAUUAUUUUCAUUGAUAAAAUAAAAGGAAUUUGUCCUAGACUGUAGGUGCUACUAUUUAAGAUUAGAGCAAGCUAGACUAGAGAUCUAAAUAGAGAUCUUUGAAAAUGGGAUAAGAGUGUAUAUGCAGACUAGAUGCCCUCACUAGAUACCUUGCAGCCUGUGAUUCCAAACACAGAUUGCAGGAGAAAGAUUAGAUAGUAGAUGCUUCUCUUAUUGAUUAUUCCUUGCUGCCCAUGGCCAUUUCCAUACAUUUUAAAAUCAAUUCAUUGUGUUUUUGAGCACAGUCAAUAUAGGUGAUUAUAUAUUGCUGUUUUGGGUAGUUUAUAGAAUUUUGUUGACAUAAUACUGAAAAUUGGGUGUUUGCUUUUUUAACUCCAAAACUUCAUAUUUACAAUCCUUAAUCUUCAGAAUGUCACAUGCUGCAAACUAAUUCCCUGUAGUUAGAACCUUCCUUUUGGAGGAUUAAAAUCUCCAGUAAAUCUGAAGCCUUGGGUUGAAGUCCUGCUAAAAUUGUAAGAGACCCGAAACUUUCUGGCUGAAUCUAGAGGAUCAAAUAUUAGGCCUGUCCCUAAAUGAUUUUUAGCUAUAUCAGGUGACUUCUUAUUUCUAUACUGGGUUCUCCUAGCCAUUAAAUUAGAUUUGCAAUCCCAUUUUGAAGACUCUAAUUCAUGUUUAAGAAGUCUUCAGUGUAAAAACUUUGUAUUGCAAAAGCAGCCCCUAGCACGAUUACCUUCACCAAAUAGCAUUUUAAUUUGAACCUUCUGCCUUCACCUAAGCUAACUGCUUAAAGUAACCAUGCAGAAAUUUUUAGCUGUGUUUGCUAUAUGAUGCUGUCAAGGGUAUAGUGCUCUGUGUCAUAUUGUGCCCUUUAAUUUUUUUAUUUUUUUAUUUUAUUAGCGAUGGGGUCUUGCUGUGUUGCCAGGGCUGGUCUCAAACUCCUGGCCUCAAACAAUCCUGCGUCGGCCUCCCAAAGUGCUUGGAUUACAGGCGUGAGCCACCACACCCAGCCUCAGUGUUGCUUAUAUAAAGUCCUGUGUAAGAUAUAUUAGUAUGUGAUGCUUAAGAAUAGUUUUGGAAGCCACCUUUUGAUAGAAUUUUGUUAGGAAGCUCAAGAGCCAAAUUUGAAGUUCAUAUUUAACAUUCAUCCUGACCUGCAUACUUGUAUUUCUUUUUAAAUACACUUUUCGUAGAACAGAUAUCCUUUAACAUUAUCGUAUAUGUUCACAUAGGAAGACAUCACAAUGCUUUGUAAAAUAAGAUGGGAUAUAGGUUGUCUGUCGGUAAAAUGUUUGAGUCUCAGAAGUUUACAUAGAGACCCCUGAUAUGUAACAAGUAGUUACAAGUAAAAUUCUCCCACUGAUCCAAAUUUUUAUGUUCAUUUUUAAAUCUCUAUUCAGAACCAUUAGUUCUCAUUCAGAGCUAUAGAACAAAGAAAAAAAUCAUUUGGAAUUGCAUCCCAAAGUCUAAUUCUAAAAGCUAGUUUGUGUCUUUAAAAAGCUCUCAGUAUAAUGUGUAUAUUUGGAAUCUAGUUUAAAAAAAUAAACAAAAAUUUAAUGAUACUAGGCUAUAAAUAUAGUUUCCUAAACCAUCACUUACACAUCCUUGUCCCUCACUUACUUUUUAAUUGCUUCUGCUGAGUUUAUGUUUUUAGCCUUCCUGGCUUAAAGUAAGGAAGUGAAACAGUCUGAAAUCAGAAACUCCAUUCUGUUUUAUAUAUGUCUUCUUGAAGUAUGAUAAGUAAUACUGGUGAGUUUGAUGAGUUUCUAGAGGCUUUGAAUUUGAAGUUCUCCUAAGUUCUUAGAUUUGCCCUUGAUCAACUAAUUUUCCACUUUCUGUAAUAAGCAGAUAAUAGUUUCUGCCUUCAAGAAAGUUGGACCAAUUUUGUUUGUUUUUUUUAAUCUCUAGGUUUUAAUAUUCUAUUGUAGGACUAUGCCACACUUGUAGAGUUGUACUGUUAAUGAAUAUAGGUGUAUAGGACUCUGAUAUUAUCUCUAGUUCUGGAUUUAUAUUUUAUCUCAUUAUGUGGGUCAAGGAAACGUUAUGCCUAGAUUCUUAUAGCUAUAAAAUGGUAUUAAUAAUACCUGUUUAUUGUAAUAAACAUGUAACUUCCUUUUGAUAAUAAAGGUUGUAUUGCAUAGAA